rnacentral:rRNA from 1 species
AGUGAACGCUGGCGGUAGGCCUAACACAUGCAAGUCGAACGGCAGCACAGUAAGAGCUUGCUCUUACGGGUGGCGAGUGGCGGACGGGUGAGGAAUACAUCGGAAUCUACUUUUUCGGGGGGGAUAACGUAGGGAAACUUACGCUAAUACCGCAUACGACCUACGGGUGAAAGCAGGGGAUCUUCGGACCUUGCGCGAAUGAAUGAGCCGAUGUCGGAUUAGCUAGUUGGCGGGGGAAAGGCCAACCAAGGCGCCGAUCCGUAGCUGGUCUGAGAGGAUGGUCGGCCACCUUGGAACUGAGGCACGGCCCAGGCUCCUACGGGACGCCGCAGUCGCGAAUAUUGGACAAUAGGCGGAAGCCUGAUCCAGCCGUACCGCGUGGGUGAAGAAGGCCUUCGGUUUGUAAAGCCCUUUUUUUGGGAAAGAAAAGCAGCAGGUUAAUACCCCGCUGUUCUGACGGUACCCAAAGAAUAAGCACCGGCUAACUUCGUG